GUUUUGGUCCAUUCUAUGUUUUCUGUGAUUCUAUUCAUUUCAUAUUUUUACAGGUUAGGUUUAGGAUUGAUUGAUUUGAAGUGAAAUAAUUCAUUCUUUCUCUUAGCCUAAGCCUAGUUUCUUGAUUUGUGAAAAAUUGGUUAUUAUUGUUGUAGGCCCUCGGCCCUAGUGUAUUUUCAAUUAAUUCACAGUACCGUAAUUACUAUGAGUCAUUUUUUGCAUUGUUGAAGAGUUAGGAUAUCCACACAUUAGGAUAGGAUAAGCCUAGGCCUACCUAGAAAUAUCGAAGUUCACCUACAAAAUGAUAAAAACAUUGGUUACAUUUGGCAUUGGCUUCUACUCAGGCGUUUACGCGGCACAGAAUUAUGAGAUUCAACGAGUAGAUGAUCCAACAACACUUUGGAACAAACUUCUAAAAUAUUUAGAAGAAAAGGGGAAAAAAGACUGAUAAUCAGCAUCACAUUGCAAAUCAUUUGUUUCCUAAUUGUGUUUGAAGUUGUAGAUUUUGGGAGAGAAGUUAUACCACAAUAGUUGUAAUUUGCUGUACUUGGAAUAAUAAUUGAGUUUUAAAUUCUAUGCUCCAUGUAAGAAGAUUAUUAUACAUUGAAAUGUAUUCGUUUGAUUCGAGUGAACAGCCUGAAAUACAAUGAGUUAAAAUUAUUCACUAUGGUACAGCAGUAGGUACCAAAUGUGAUAACAAUGAUGCUUUUCUUAACAUAUUUUAAUCAAUCUUGGUUAUUCAUCAAUCCUUGACCUAAAAUUUGAGCUCAAGAGCAUGAAAAAUUUCUCAUAAGGUGCACUUGUCAAUUGUAGCACCUAAGUUUGACUAUUAUUAAUGCAUUUAACUUUGACUUUGGCUAUUUGUUAAAACUAACAAAACUUAUGAGUUCAAUGAUACCAGUGAUUUGUUUUGCUUCGUAGAUCUGCCAAUAAAACAUAAACUAGUCACUUAUUAUUUGUUAUUGAGGCCUACCCUACUCCCAAAAGAUGAAAUUGAUUUAUAGACUACUCAAUACUCAAUUCACAAUUUUGAAUAUGACAAUGGCACUCUACUGUUUAUGUAACUAAUCCCAAUAAAAUCUUGUUGAUUUAAAUAA